GGCGAUCAGAUACCGCCCUAGUUCUAACCGUAAACGAUGACAACCAGCGAUUAAUCGGCGUUAAUAUACGACCCGAUUAGCAGCUUCCGGGAAACCAAAGUUUUUCGUUUCCGGGGGAAGUAUGGUUGCAAAGCUGAAACUUAAAGGAAUUGACGGAAGGGCACCACCAGGAGUGGAGCCUGCGGCUUAAUUUGACUCAACACGGGAAAACUCACCCGGCCCGGACACUGUAAGGAUUGACAGACUGAGAGCUCUUUCUUAAUUCAGUGGGUGGUGGUGCAUGGCCGUUCUUAGUUGGUGGAGCGAUUUGUCUGGUUAAUUCCGAUAACGAACGAGACUCUGGCCUAUUAAAUAGACGAGGUAUCUACGCGUAUCUCGCGCUUCUUAGAGGGACAAGCGGCGUCUAGUCGCAUGAAAAAGAGCAAUAACAGGUCUGUGAUGCCCUUAGAUGUCCGGGGCUGCACGCGCGCUACACUGAAAGAAUCAGCGUGCAUUUAAACCUAGUCCGGAAGGACCGGGUAACCCGAGUAAAUUCUUUCGUGCUUGGGAUAGGGAAUUGCAAUUAUUUCCCUUAAACGAGGAAUUCCCAGUAAAUGCGGGUCAUAAGCUCGCGUUGAUUACGUCCCUGCCCUUUGUA
rnacentral:rRNA from 1 species